UCACAAUGUGGAGUUGUUCUGUAAGGGCCU
rnacentral:piRNA from 1 species